GGGGACGUGGCGUAGUGGUUUGAGUGUUGGAUUAUGACUCUGGAGACCAGGGUUCGAUUGUCAGCUUGGUCA